rnacentral:rRNA from 1 species
AUUGAACGCUGGCGGCAGGCUGAACACAUGCAAGUCGGGCGAACGGCGGACGGGUGAGUAAUGUCUGGGGAACUGCCUGAUGGAUGGGGAUAGCUACUGGAAACGGUAGCUAAUACCGCAUACCAUCAGAUGUGCCCAGAUGGGAUUAGAUAGUGGGUGGGGUAAUGGCUCACCUAGGCGACGAUCCCUAGCUGGUCUGAGAGGAUGACCGCGCCAACGGGAGAUGUGAAUAGGUCCAGAGUCGUAUGGGCGGCACCAGUGGGGAAUAUUGAGGAGUGGGCGCAAGUCAGCUGCAGCGCUGCCGGGUGUGGGAAGAAGGACUACAGGUAUUAAAGCAUUUUCAGCGAGUCGACGUUACUCGUAGAAGCUGCCCCGGGUGACGCCGUGCUAGCAGCCGCGGUAAUAC